rnacentral:rRNA from 1 species
GACGAACGCUGGCGGCGUGCUUAACACAUGCAAGUCGAACGAAGAGCGAUGGAAGCUUGCUUCUAUCAAUCUUAGUGGCGAACGGGUGAGUAACGCGCAAUCAACCUGCCCUUCAGAGGGGGACAACAGUUGGAAACGACUGCUAAUACCGCAUACGAUCUAAUCUCGGCAUCGGGGAUAGAUGAAAGGUGGCCUCUAUGUAUAAGCUAUCACUGAAGGAGGGGAUUGCGUCUGAUUAGCUAGUUGGAGGGGUAACGGCCCACCAAGGCGAUGAUCAGUAGCCGGUCUGAGAGGAUGAACGGCCACAUUGGGACUGAGACACGGCCCAGACUCCUACGGGAGGCAGCAGUGGGGAAUCUUCCGCAAUGGACGAAAGUCUGACGGAGCAACGCCGCGUGAGUGAUGACGGCCUUCGGGUUGUAAAGCUCUGUUAAUCGGGACGAAAGGCCUUCUUGCGAAUAGUGAGAAGGAAUGACGG